ACUAAUUUUCAUAAGUCUUUCUUGUAUCUCCAUUGAUAAAAUAAUUAGUUAUAAACUUAUAAAAACUGUUUUAUGUUUUUUACAUCAAAAGGAGAAAAGAUAUGACUAAAAUGCUCAAGCUUGUUUACUUUAUGAUCUUGUUUGUUUUCAUAUUUUUUCUUGUUAGGGUUGUAAACUCUGAUUUUUUGUAUCCUUGUCUUGAGGACUUUAAACAUCUUUGUCAACGAAAUUGUCCUGAUGAUAUGAUCGGCGUUUGUAGUAAUCUUCACUGUCAUUGCAUGAAAGUGAAUGUAAAUUAGUGAGCCCUCGUGGAUAUUAAUUAUGAAAAUAUACUUCUAUAUGGAGAACAACAAUGUCACCACCUUCCUUAAAAAAAAAAAAAAAAAAAACAAUGUCACCACCUAAUAUACU